GGAGGCGGUCACCCCUAUGGCCAUCUGCAAGACAGUCAGAUGGCAGCAGAGGGGCAGUCUGACAGAAUGGUGUGUGACGUGGAAGUGCAUAUGAAGCAGAAGACUGGAAUUGAAUUUCUUCAUGUGAAAAAAAUGGCGCCCGUUGACACUGAUCCACUCUCGCUGAAGCGUUAUGGAGACCAAACAGUGGAUAUGAGCACAGUGAGGCAGUGGGUGGUACUUUUCAGCAGUGGUGACAGUGGGUCACCUCUGCUGGUACAGGUGUUUUUUGAGCACAGCAUGCAGGCUCUUGUUCAUCACUGGUGAAAGUGCAUAGCUAAUGUUGGUGUCUAUGUUGAAAAAGAGUGCGUUCUAGCUAAGAAUUUUCUCUAUCAAAUACUGUUCUUGUACUCUUUGUAUGUGUUGUACUUUCCAAGAAAAUAAAUAGGAGGCAUUAUAUUUGGAGUGAACUAUGUAUAAUAUGUACGAAUUGUAAUACUUGCCUAGAGUAGAUGUCCCAGUUGACACUAUCAGCUUGGAAAAAAUACUGUGAACAGCCCUGUCACUUUGAGGCUAAGAGAUGAGCAUUUUGGUGAUUUUUUUGUUCUUUUUCUAUGUGUAAUAUGUGCACUUGGACUGUAGUAUGCUGUAGUACAGGGAAGGUAAAUAUUUUACUUGUAAACAUCAUAUCUGAAAUACACGCCUAUCAUGAGAAUUGUAUUACUGUGGUUAAUGAUAUGGGUGGCUUUGCAUUUUCAGCUAGACAUGAGAUGUGUUCAAAUUCUAUGUCAGAGAUGAAUUUAAAAUUCAAUUGCUAGCUCAGUGCCCAGACUGCAUGUCUGUGCCACACAAGAUAUCACUGAUGGGUUCUUUGUCUUUUGAGAGAUCUAACAUUAAAAGCAAUGAGGGAUGGUUAAAUUGAAAUGAUUAGGAUCAUUAAAGAGGAGGAAUUAAUUUUUGUCUUUAUAUAAUGCCAAUAGUGUACUAUCUUCUGUAGACAGAACUUCAAAGCAGUUUGAAGCAGUUUGAAAAUCUGUAGAGAUCUUUUUUUUUUUUUUUUUUGUCUUGAAAUAAAAAAAAUAUAAAACCGACACAUUGUUUUCCCCUGCUGUACAUCCAAUCUUCACUGAAAAUGCACCUGUUGCCUACACAAGUUAUGAGAGCGUGAGUGUGGGCUGGAUUUUACUCUCACCACUGUUAGCAGAAUUGUAGCUACAGUAUAAUUGAAAUAUUCAUUUACACUUGUGCAAUCCUCUGAAGGAAAUAAUUUGCACCUUGAAAUGCUAGGAAAUACUGACUUUAAGAAUGAUGAGACUGUAUUGGUUUGCAUAUCAUAUUUCAAUUUUAAUGUUGUACCUGUUAUACCUGUCAGUUAGAAAAAAUACAUAUUAUUAUUAUCUCACACAGAAAUUCUUGAAAUAAAAACCUAGUCUUAAUCUGUUAGUAGUGGUAGGAACAUUGUAGAUAAGACAGUGUAAGGGUUCAAUGGAAGGAAAUUUGAUUUGAAAGCUGCUAAAACAGGGAGAAGCAGCUAAGCACUGAGAGUCCGCAAACAUUGCUUUUCCCAUUUUUACAAUGGGAGAUUUGGAACAUAAAUUUAUUUUAAGCAUCCAUAUACUAAAGUGUUAAGAAAUGUGCCAACAAUAGCUUGCAUAAAGAUUUAACAAUGGAACCUGGCUACACAUUCAAAUCUUUAUUCAACAACUUUAAGUCUGUUACAUGAUUUCUACUCUUCAUUAGGUAGGACUUCCUAAUUCUUAUUAAAUUUGAAAAAUACUUAGUUAUUUCAGAUGUAGAUCUGUAGUUUUCAGUGUUUUUACUCUGUUAAUCUGGUUCUAAAGAAUUAACUUUUGUACUGUUAAUAUAUCAUCCAUAGUUCUCCGUGUGUGUUGCAGAGACCAAUAAAUUAAUGAUAUAAUGUUA